rnacentral:rRNA from 1 species
GGGGGGGGGGGGGGGGGGGGGGGGGGCGGGCGGGGCGGGCGGGCGGGGGGGGGGGUUGCGGCUCUGGUGUUGGCGGCGGGCGGGGGGGGGACGCGUGGAGGACCUCCCUAUCCGCCUGGGCUCACUUCGGGACACCGGCGCUACUCCCGGCGAAUAUUUUGAACCGCAUGGUUCAAAGGUGCAAGACGGGCUUGCUGUCCCUUAUCGAUGGCUCCGCGCUGUAUUAGCUCGUUGGUAAGGGACCGGCGUACCAAGGCAACGAGGCAUAGCCGACCUGGGAGGGGAGUCGGCCACACUGGAACUGGGACACGGUCCAGACUCCUACGGGAGGCAGAAGUAGGGAAUCUUCCGCAAUGGGCGAAAGCCUGACGGAGCAACGCCGCGUGAGUGAUGAAGGUCUUCGGAUCGUAAAACUCUGUUAUUAGGGAAGAACAUAUGUGUAAGUAACUGUGCACAUCUUGACGGUACCUAAUCAGAAAGCCACGGCUAACUACGU